GACCUGAGGCCCAAAGGAGGGCCGGCCACCCAGGUGGGCCGGGCUGCCACUUCCCGGUCAGGUGGAGCCGAAAUGAUGUCAUUUCCACCAGUCUCUACUUUGCAGUUUAAGAUCGUGCUUUGAUUAUUAACCAAAGCUGAGGAAACUGAGACCGAGGCAGGGGCGCAGCUUACCCGGUGAAGCUUUUCCUGGGAAAAGGCUCCCGGUGGAGCCGGAAGAGCUGCCUGGAAAAGAGCCAGGCUGCCUCUUCCUGGUAUUCCUUGAACACUCUCGCCUUGGAGCCUUUGCACUGUAUUUCCUCUGCCUGGAAUGCUUUCCCUCAGCUGUCCCCAUGGCUCAUCCUUCACUCCCUUCAGGCUGUUCUCUUAAGCAGAGGAAGCCGAAUGAGGUUUAUGCAUGUCUUCCCAGCAUCCAGAGCGGGUUCCAGGAAGGUUGUG